GGGGAGAGUACAAAUUAAGGUUCAUAUAAACACUUUUGUGUUUUGGAGUGUGUUUAGUAUUAAUCAAAAAAAAUCAGAAUAGGAUUAGAGAGAUUAGGAGAAUAAAGAGAUUUUAGAGAGAGAAUAGAGAGAGAAACUCAAAACUCCAUUAAUUCAUACAAUCUGAGAGUUUACAAGAUAAAAUAGAGAUAUAAGCUUGUCUAGGUUCAAUGUAUCUCAAAACAGAAGCAUGUAAGGUCAAAGACAAUAUUUGAGUUCAGCCAAUGAAGAGAUCCACAUCCUUUGGCAUCUCUCCGGCCUGUGCCAGCUUGUCCAGACCUGUAUCUCUCUUCCUGCAUUUCACUACACUUCGUUGCACUUCACUGCACCUAAGUGCACUUCAAACA
rnacentral:lncRNA from 1 species